rnacentral:rRNA from 1 species
CUACGGGAGGCUGCAGUGGGGAAUAUUGGACAAUGGACCAAAAGUCUGAUCCAGCAAUUCUGUGUGUUUGAUGAAGGCCUUCGGGUUGUAAAGAACUUUAAGUAGGGAAGAAGAAAGUGACGGUACCUACAGAAUAAGCGACGGCUAAAUACGUGCCAGCAGCCGCGGUAAUACGUAUGUCGCAAGCGUUAUCCGGAAUUAUUGGGCAUAAAGCGCGUCUAGGCGGUUUGCUAAGUCUGAUGUGAAAAUGCGGGGCUCAACUCCGUAUUGCGUUGGAAACUGGUAGACUAGAGUAUUGGAGAGGUAGGCGGAACUACAAGUGUAGAGGUGAAAUUCGUAGAUAUUUGUAGGAAUGCCAAUGACGAAGGUAGCUUACUGGACAAAUACUGACGCUGAAGCGCGAAAGCUAGGGGAGCAAACAGGAUUAGAUACCCUGGUAGUC